AUUGAACGCUGGCGGCAGGCCUAACACAUGCAAGUCGAGCGGAUGAAGGGAGCUUGCUCCUGGAUUCAGCGGCGGACGGGUGAGUAAUGCCUAGGAAUCUGCCUGGUAGUGGGGGAUAACGUCCGGAAACGGGCGCUAAUACCGCAUACGUCCUGAGGGAGAAAGUGGGGGAUCUUCGGACCUCACGCUAUCAGAUGAGCCUAGGUCGGAUUAGCUAGUUGGUGGGGUAAAGGCCUACCAAGGCGACGAUCCGUAACUGGUCUGAGAGGAUGAUCAGUCACACUGGAACUGAGACACGGUCCAGACUCCUACGGGAGGCAGCAGUGGGGAAUAUUGGACAAUGGGCGAAAGCCUGAUCCAGCCAUGCCGCGUGUGUGAAGAAGGUCUUCGGAUUGUAAAGCACUUUAAGUCGGGAGGAAGGGCAGUAAGUUAAUACCUUGCUGUUUGGACGUGACCAACAGAAUAAGCACCGGCUAACUUCGU
rnacentral:rRNA from 1 species